rnacentral:rRNA from 1 species
AUUGAACGCUGGCGGCAUGCCUUACACAUGCAAGUCGAACGGUAACAGGUCUUCGGAUGCUGACGAGUGGCGAACGGGUGAGUAAUACAUCGGAACGUGCCCGAUCGUGGGGGAUAACGAGGCGAAAGCUUUGCUAAUACCGCAUACGAUCUACGGAUGAAAGCGGGGGAUCUUCGGACCUCGCGCGGACGGAGCGGCCGAUGGCAGAUUAGGUAGUUGGUGGGAUAAAAGCUUACCAAGCCGACGAUCUGUAGCUGGUCUGAGAGGAUGAUCAGCCACACUGGGACUGAGACACGGCCCAGACUCCUACGGGAGGCAGCAGUGGGGAAUUUUGGACAAUGGGCGAAAGCCUGAUCCAGCCAUGCCGCGUGCAGGAUGAAGGCCUUCGGGUUGUAAACUGCUUUUGUACGGAACGAAAAGCCUCUUUCUAAUAAAGAGGGGUUAUGACGGUACCGUAAGAAUAAGCACCGGCUAACUACGUG